CAGAAGACGAUGGCGUGUAUUACUGCGCAGGCGGACGACACGGUGACUGAAGAACCUCAGACACCUCCACAAAAACCUCCAACACUCAACCGCCAACAUAGAGAAGAACAGGAAGCAGAGGACACCUGCAACUCCGCUUUUAAAGGACGUCUUCUGCGUCAACCACCACAACAGGAAACUUCAGAAAUCCACUGUUGAAGGGGUGAGACCUCCCAUCAUCUUCUACCUCAGAUCCCUUCAGUUCAUCUGUUUGCAUCAUGUUCAGGCUCCUUGUACAUUUAGCAGCUCUGCCGUUCUGUCUGACAGAACUCUCUAAAAACAGCGUUGACCAGAAUCCCUCUGCCAUGAUGAAACAUCCUGGAGACGCUGAAGUGAUUAAAUGCAGCCACUCCAACUCUGACUGGAAAAUGAUCCAGUGGUACAAACAGUCUGCAGGGACCACGGAGAUGGUUCUUCUUGGCUAUGUUCUAUAUUCUAAUCCAAGCACUGAAGACCAGUUUAAAGGCUCAUAUAACGUGAGCGGUGAAGGGUCCAGUCUGUCAUCCCUUCACAUGUUAAAGUUAAGCAAAACCGAAGACGGCGCUGUGUUUUUCUGUGCAGCGAGUAGAGCACAGUGAUGAAAACUCCUGCCAACUUUGACAAAAACCUUCUAUGGUAACACAUCUACAACACUUCAACAGAUAAAAGCCACAUGAAGACCAGAACAAUGAACUCGACAAGGGUUAUUAGACAGCAGCUGCAUCUACAGACAGCUUCAUACUGUAACACUGUCUGUGUACAGUCCUGUAGGGGGCAGCGUUUAUCCACAGAUCUGCUCAUUUUAUAGACAAACCAUCAGAAGAAAAGAUGC